AUGUAUAUUUAAAUUCUUUUAAUAUAUAAUAAAUUCAAAUAAUAAGUAUCAUACCUUAUUGUUUGCAGAAUUUUAUAAAUGUCAGUUUUCAUAGAUACUAAAUUACUUAUACCUUUUACAGGGGGAUAUCCGUCCGGGUAAAAUAACAUACCAGCAGUUUCACCUUCUUCUAAUCAAAAGUGGCUAGCAUGCCAAUAUAUAAAUAAUAAAAUUGUUAUAUUUUCUCCAUUGAGCAGAUUCAAAAUGAAUUGUAAGAAGAUAUUUAUGGGCCAUGUGGCUCCUGCUUAUGCGUGCAGUUUGGAUGUUUCUCCUGACAUGAGGUAUGGGCCUGGAAAACAACAAAAUCGUGUGAAAAUGAAAAGCACAUAUUGGUGUCUGUACUAACAUAUUAUACAUCCUUGUGAAACUUAAAAAAUAGUAACAUCCGAAUGGGACAGACACGUAAAAUGUUGAAAUUAAGCAUAUACAAAAACUAAGUAUUUAAUCGACGGAGGUUUUAGUACUCCUUUGAUGUAAUACAUAUUAUACAUAUUGCUUUUAUGAAUGUUCAAUUGUAUUUUUGUAACACAUUAAAUGCAAAGAUAGGAGGGCUAUAUAGAAUAGAUCUAAGCUUCUUUUUGAGCAAACAUUCUCUUUUUACCAUCUCGUAAAUUUGUAUACGAAGAAUUUGACAAUAAAGUAAUAUUUUCAUAAAAUCAG